GUUGGGGUCUGCUGGUUGUGCUGUGGAGAAGAAGAAGUUGGUGUUGUGAGGAGCUGCACGGACUCAGUGAGUGAUAUCUGAGAAGUUUUUUGACUCUUCACAGAAAGAGAAGGAUUUCAGUGAGUCUGUGGAACUGAAAUGGUUGGCUGAGCUUAAUGAAUAAAACAAAAAGCUCUGGGUGAAGGACACUGAAGUGAAACAGCCUCCCUGGCCUUCCAAGGUUUCAUUAAAGGGUUUGGAAUCCCUGGCAGUGUCAGUCAUCAAGGAGAUGGAUAAGAAGAUAAGGCCCAUUACAAAGAGAAUCAAACAGCAGGUCAGGGCUUGCACUUCAGGGUGAUGGCUACUGGCACUGUGGGUUUCAGCAUUUCAGCACACCCACAAAGAGACUGAAAAAGAAGAGGAGUGGUGGGGACAGGCUGAGGGACACAGCUCCACAGACUGCCAGGUCUGACCCCACAGACAGGAGCACACCCCAAAAAGGGGCACUGACUGUGACACCUCAAUCCCCCUCAGGGAAUCUGGGGCUUGUCUCCAAGCUUGUUCUGUCAGGUUUAUCCUUCUGCUCCUGUUUGCCAAGUGGCAAUGGCUCUGAUCAGAUAAACUCACUGGAACAAGCAGCUUCCCAUCCUCAGUCAGUGCCUUUGACCAAGCUUGUUCUGCCUCCCUGUUUGUGUCAUGUGUCUGUAAGGAUGAAGAAUUACAACAGGAGAAAACAAAAUACUCUCUGUCAAGGGACUGCUUGUGUGUGUUUUUCUUCCUUGGUAAAAAUCCCAGACAAAUUCCAAAAAUGGGACUGACAGGUGAGUCUACAGUUGGCAAAAUUUUGGAAUAAGGAGUAUGCACAGUGUGGAAAUUGUCACAUAACUGAGUCUGUCCCUGACUUGUUGAUGGCUUCUCCCUUUUCCUAUAGUCCCUUUUUAUACUGAAAAAGGUCUUUGGCCUGAUGCCCUUAAAGGAGGAGAAACUCCCUUUCCAUGGACCUUUACACAGUCUUCUUUUGGCUCAGGAAUCCCUUGGGGCUUACAUUUAUCCUGUAGCUUCCUCAGACAUCAGUUUGGUCACAUGGAACACGAGAUCCAAGAGGAGAAAAGCUUUGGUUUUGAUGCAGUGUGGCCACUUCAACAACCAACUUACAGCAACUGAAAAAAAAUGGUCAAUUCUUGGUCAGACAGCAGGAGAACAAAACCCACAGACUCAAUUUGGUGCUGAUGUUUCCAGUUUAUUUCAGAUCUGCAAUUCUUUUCACAUUCAAAAAUGCAAAAUGUUUCCUGUCUCUUCUUUAAAAUCUGUUCAAGAAAGGUCCUGUCCAAUUCUCUGUCUGAUGCCAAUAGGACAAUAUUUGCUUUCCAGAGAACAUUUUUCUUCCAUGCCCUCAUCUCAUUUUGUUAUUUCUUCCAUCUGAAUUAAUCCUGCAAUAGAGAAUUAAAUGCUUUGUAUCCGAGCCUAUGAUCAACUAAAAAAGAGAGAAGCUCACCCAAAACCAACAAUUGUUACCAGGUGAUAAUUCUGAUUUUAAUAAAAUCCCUCCACUAGUCAACACUGUUUCAGCCAAUGAGGAAGGUGCCAAUUCCAGACUAAAAAUAAGUAGACUUUUACCAAGUAAUAAAUGUUAUUUCACAAAAGAAGUUCUAGAAUUUAACACACCUGGUUGCCAUUUAUAUAUGAUUCCAUGUAAUUCUAGCUCAAAAAACUUCACAUGUGUAGGUUCUAGAAAUACUUACCCUUAGAGAUAAAUAAUGGCCAGAACUGAGAAUUUUACUGAAAAAUAGGCUUUUCUUCCCAAACUGAGAGGCACCAGAAUUGCCUAUAAAUAAAUUGAAUCAAUUCUUUGGCAAACACUUUGAAGAAAACUAGAAUUAUUAACU